rnacentral:rRNA from 1 species
CGCGAACGCUGUCGGCGUGCCUAACACAUGCAAGUCGUGGGGCAGCAGGCCAGUUCCUUUUGGAACUGGUGCUGGCGACCGGCGAACGGGUGAGUAACGCGUGAGCAACCUACCCCGAGGAGGGGGAUAACCCGGGGAAACCCGGGCUAAUACCCCAUAAGCGCACGGCCCGCAUGGGCUGUGUGAAAAGGGUGGCCUCUGCAUAGCAAGCUGCCGCCUCGGGAUGGGCUCGCGUCCCAUCAGGUAGUUGGUGAGGUAACGGCUCACCAAGCCUACGACGGGUAGCCGGNCUGAGAGGGUGGUCGGCCACACCGGGACUGAGACACGGCCCGGACUCCUACGGGAGGCAGCAGUGGGGAAUCUUGGGCAAUGGGCGCAAGCCUGACCCAGCGACGCCGAGUGGAGGAAGAAGCCCUUCGGGGUGUAAACUCCUGUCGCCGGGGACGAUGCGGGCGGGGGUUAACAGCCCCUGCCCGUGACGGUACCCGGAGAGGAAGGGACGGCUAACUACGUGCCCAGCAGCCGCGGUAAUACGUA